ACAUCCGAAUGUAUGAGUUUUCCUCAACACUAACACGAGUAGUUGCCCACAUACAAAUAAAAAUCAUGUGACGGUCUCACCAUAAAUCCAAUAUGUUGAAUCCAAACGAUUUCUUAAACCACUUCUCCUUUCCUGGGGUAUAAGUUUGCAAACUGCCACUUUUCUCCCAUCCGCAAAGAUCAUCUAGGUCUACUUAAACAGUCUUCAUCGUUUUAGCAUGAGUGCAUGACAAUGCCAUCCUACGUGCCACCAUAAGCUGGUGAAUGGUACAACCAUAAAUGCAAUGGAAGCAAAUCUUGUUCUUCGGUAAACAUCUGUCAUUCCAGGGCUUUAAUCGAGAUGGACGGCAAGCAUCUAACUUUGGCUCCAGUUCUGUAGUAUUUCUAGUCUGCUAAUAGAAUGUGGGUUGUGUCCCUUCUCUAGUAUCUUGUUUCCAGUAAAGCAUCAAGCAAUCCGAAAUCCAUGGCCUGCAAAUGAUGAAACACAUGUAAUAGCUCAAAAGGAGAGAUUUGAUAUAGUACUUUGCUAAAAAUCAUGUGACAAUAAAUGCAGCUGAACAUAAAUUAGCUAAAACUCCUAAGUCAUGCGCACACAUGUUAAGAGCACUGAAAAGGUGAAUAAUGCAACACAUGUAUCAGAUGAAAUCCUUGCUUAAGACAGUUAACCUUGAACUUUAAAGUGUUUUUUUUCUGGAUAUGGUUGCAGGAAAUUGGUGGUUUGUAUUAUGUAUGCUCCCUUUCUUAAAUAGACUUUAGCUAAAGCAUGGUUCAGCCAAUUAUAGGUCCAUCAGCAAGUAGUGGUUGCACAGACAACAAAUGGUAUAUACUCUAUAAUGUUCCAAUAUUCCCAACAUAUCAUCAUUUUUUCUGUUUUAUUGAAUUUCACUUUGGUAAAUGGCAGGCCUGACGGGGCUUUGAUAGCGCACAUUUGAUCAUAUUGGCAACAAUGGUAAGUAGUUAGUGAUGUAGUGUUAAUUUAUUCAGGAGAGCUGAUUUGUUUGUCCAUACCAAACAUGAAAAUUUCACUGUGUAGCAGUUACCUAAGCGCAAGGUACAAUUUACCAGGGAAUGAAAAAAAGAAAAACAAGGAAACAAGGAAGUUCAAAUUUUAACUUGAAAAGUAAAAUAUUUUGUCGAUGAAACCAAAAAAACAAACUAACUACAUAAUGAUGAAUUAUUGGAACAGAAAAAUAGUAGAUGCAUAUACAGUUUUAAAGUCCCGUUGAUAUGUUUGUUUCAAGUACAUAAGUUGAAUUUCAUAUUGUAUUACAAUGUUACUAAACGAUGGAUUUCUUAUAAAAAUUUGAGAAAAAUCAGCAACACUUUUAAAACUGUCAUGGUAGAUGCAAAAAAUUAUAGGCACAGACCUCAAAAAGGAUUUACCGAACCAAAGUAAUUUACCAAACCAACCUAAUUCGAUGUCAUGUACAAAUCGUAAGGCAUUCUGUGUUCCCCAAGUCCCAACUCACCGAUGUUCUUGUACUUUCUGAAGCUGAUAAAAUAACAGUGUUAUUUGCAGGGAGCUGAAUACACUAAUAGGGAGCUUCUGAGUGGAGAGAAGGAAGGCUUUAUGCAGCUACCAAGUUGACA
rnacentral:lncRNA from 1 species